ensembl:snoRNA
AAGCGAGUCAGUGACUCUGCUUAUCUAAACAACUAUGUAUAGUCAGAGAUUUAGAUGAAGCUGGCAAUAAUAGUGCCAUGAUACGAGCCUUAAUUACAAUCAAAGUCAUUAAGGUCCCUGAGAAUGGCUAAAAAA